AACAGACUUACUUUAUUCUCCUGUGUUUACGAACUGAAGCAGAGCAGAAGAGUCUUAGCGUUAAUCGCCUUCUCUGGACCACCUGCCAACAUGGAGGCAGAGCAGAGCCUCAGACCAUCAAUAAGGCCUCUAAGAACCCAUGACUCACACUUUGAUACUGACGGUCACCUAAUUUAGCUGCUUGCCUCACUCUUUGGAGUUUUCAGAGUGUCAAACUCUUGAAACAAGGGCAGAAAAGUGGAAAGUUCCUGGAGUUGUC
rnacentral:lncRNA from 1 species